GCCAAGGCCUAUGCCGGCAAGCUGAGAUGUCUGAGGGUGAACACGGACGAGAACCAGGAGGUGGCCUCGAGGUAUGGCAUCAGGAGCAUCCCCACCAUCCUCAUCUUCAAGGACGGCGAGAGAAAGGAGACAGUUAUCGGUGCCAUUGCAGACACGGCAUUGGCCGCCACAGUCGACAGGUUCUUGUGA
rnacentral:rRNA from 1 species